AUAACAAAGUUUUGUUUUACAUAGCAGAAUGGAUCAGACUGCACAAGCCUGUUACAAUAUAAGAAGCCAUAAGGACUGGUAUCGGUAGUGGAUGGUUAAAAGAAUUUGUCUCACUUCAGUACUGUUCGUAAAUAAGCUUGGGGAAUGAGGAAAAGUGCAGCUGCUGAACUGCAGUGAAAUCAUCUCUUUAUGUGUAAAAACAGCAUUCGCACUUUCACACCCCACACACACAAAUCCAUUACGCUCGAAGCUUUUAAAAGGAAACGAAAGCCCUUCGUCCAAAUUGAGGUUCUCUUAUGGCCGGUUCCAUUUUAAGCGCGAGACGAGAGCCAAUUUCAGAAAGAGUUGACCCCGGCUGUGUGUCCCUCUUUUCAGCAUCUGUCUUCCUGUUUUUUCUUCUUCUUUCCCUUUACCCUCACGCCUGCUUUUAUAUACUUAUUCUACAGUGCGGCCUACACAUGGUGUUUGUUUUGCCAAGCGCUUGCUAACCACCGUAAAGCCUUGACAUAAAGCCGGGAGUGAAAAGGGGCUAAAAAGCAUCCUGGAGAGAAAUGUUCUUGAGCUUUCAUCUGAGAGUGUUACCACUAAGAGAGAGAGAGAGAGAGAGAAUUAUUCCAGUCUUAAAAAUAACCUGACUGCAACAUCGAUGUGAACAUCAGUACUGCAAUGAUAGUCUGGCAAGCACUGGCAGACUACAGCAAUAGUCUGAUCAAGAAACUAUGACUUCCAGCACCGCUUUGGGAUUGUGCAACCGGCACAUAAAAAUUAUUACAGCAUCAAGAUCAGUUCCAUAUCUUAAAUCUCCCCAUAUGGGCUACAUCUCGGACCCCAUGUACAGUAUACCUGGGUCUUUCAGGCACCCUUUAUUUAGACUGCAUCUUGAUGAGAUUUUAACUGGAUGCAUAAACACUUGUGAUAUCACAGUGAUAUGUGAGCGCUGAACCACAUGAAUUAUGUAAAGAAGCUUUUAAUACCCGACCACAAACAUCCUGUGUUUUUCCUGGUUUCCUUUUGUUCUAUGCAAAAGAUGGUCAAAUAUUAAGCAAAUCUGUCAGUGGUCCCAAAGGCUGCAUUAUGUAAUGGGGAUGGGAAUUUUGCUUAUGAUAUAAAAUAAACACUAUAUGGCCAAAGAUAUCUUGACACCUGACCAUCAAACCCACAUGUGGGUCUUCCCUAAACUGUUGCCACAAAUUUGGAACCAGACAAUUGUAUAAGAUGUCAACAAUGCAAUGCGCCUGUGCACAAAGUGAGCUCCUUGAAAAUAUGAUUUGCUGAGGUUGGCGUGGAAGAACUCAAGUGUCCUGCCCAGAGCCAAGACAUCAACCCCACUUAACACCAUUGGGACAACCCAGAAUCUUCUCCCAAGAUCAGCCUGUCCUCACGAAUGCUCUUGUAGUUGAACGAACACAAAUACCCCACAGCCAC
ensembl:lncRNA